AUUGAACGCUGGCGGCAGGCUUAACACAUGCAAGUCGAGCGGGGUGAUGGUGCUUGCACUAUCACUUAGCGGCGGACGGGUGAGUAAUGCUUAGGAAUCUGCCUAUUAGUGGGGGACAACAUCUCGAAAGGGAUGCUAAUACCGCAUACGUCCUACGGGAGAAAGCAGGGGAUCACUUGUGACCUUGCGCUAAUAGAUGAGCCUAAGUCGGAUUAGCUAGUUGGUGGGGUAAAGGCCUACCAAGGCGACGAUCUGUAGCGGGUCGGAGAGGAGGAACCGCCACACUGGGAAUGAGACACGGCCCAGACUCCUACGGGAGGCAGGAGUGGGGAAUAUUGGAUAAUGGGGGGAACCCUGAUCCAGCAAUGCCGCGUGUGUGAAGAAGGCAUUAUGGUUGUAAAGCACUUUAAGCGAGGAGGAGGCUCUUUUGGUUAAUACCCAAGAUGAGUGGACGUAACUCGAAGAAUAAGCACCGGCUAACUCUGUGCCAGCCGCCGCCGUAA
rnacentral:rRNA from 1 species